GAUGAACGCUGGCGGCGUGCUUAACACAUGCAAGUCGAACGAGAAGUGAAGACGGAAACCUUCGGGCGGAAGGCUUUAUUUCGAGUGGCGGACGGGUGAGUAACGCGUGGGUAACCUGCCUCAUACAGGGGGAUAACAGUUGGAAACGACUGUUAAUACCGCAUAAGACCACAGCACCGCAUGGUGCGGGGGUAAAAACUCCGGUGGUAUGAGAUGGACCCGCGUUCGAUUAGCCAGCUGGCGGGGUAACGGCCCACCAAAGCGACGAUCGAUAGCCGAUCUGAGAGGAUGACCGGCCACAUUGGGACUGAGACACGGCCAAAACUCCUACGGGAGGCAGCAGUGGGGAAUAGUGCACGAUGGGGGAAACCCUGAUGCAGCGAAGCCGCGUGAGUGAAGAAGUAUUUCGGUAUGUAAAGCUCUAUCAGCAGGGAAGAAAAUGACGGUACCUGAGUAAGAGGCCCCGGCUAACUACGUG
rnacentral:rRNA from 1 species